UACGAAGGGGGCUAGCGUUGCUCGGAAUCACUGGGCGUAAAGGGUGCGUAGGCGGGUUUUUAAGUCAGGGGUGAAAUCCUGGAGCUCAACUCCAGAACUGCCUUUGAUACUGAAGAUCUUGAGUCCGGGAGAGGUGAGUGGAACUGCGAGUGUAGAGGUGAAAUUCGUAGAUAUUCGCAAGAACACCAGUGGCGAAGGCGGCUCACUGGCCCGAUACUGACGCUGAGGCGCGAAAGCGUGGGGAGCAAACGGG
rnacentral:rRNA from 1 species